rnacentral:lncRNA from 1 species
CCUUGUAUGGCUGUGGAACAAGUCGAAGGAGUAAUCUUUCGCUGUUUAAAAUACCUUUUCUUGCUCGAGGCGACGGAGACGAAACCGAAUUAUAAAAGAUAUUGAUUAUCAUGGUCUCGUCAAUUAAAAUAACCAAAAUAGUGAAAGAUAGAGAACACAUAUGUCACAAAACACAAUAUAAGACUCAGAGUGAUAGAAGUACAUGUCCUUGUUCUAUUUUAUUUUAGCGAUAUUUUGGUUUACGAAAAUAGAAUACUGAUUAUUUUUAAUAUUUACGUUGGAUUAUGGUUGAUUUAGAAACCCCCUAACAGGGCCUAAAUAGAUAAAAGCUGAUUCUCGUUAUUACAUGCUCAAGUACAACUCCUGUACAACUCCUGAUGAUUGUACAUUUGGUAGAUACUAUUAUACGAUUUAUACCCCUCAUUUGUUGUCAUACCUUACAUGAAAAAGGCUCAUUUAUUAACAUAUAUAGUGUAUAGUUGUAUAUUAUUAAAAUAGUAUAUAUUUUUGUUGUUGAUAUAAAGGGUAAAGAUGAUUGAACAAAAUCAUGUCUUAAUGGAACAUUUUAUUACAUUACCUAGUAAGCUAAAGAUGUGAACAAUUACUAGCAAAGAACAUGUGAGAAAAAGAAAUGCCUUGAAGGAGCAGGAUUUGUAUUUACAGGCUCCGGGACAGCUAAAUUGCAGAAUACUCGUCCACUUGGACAUAUUACACCUGUUAUUUCCUUGUAAACAUGGCGAAAUGAGGAAAGUAUGCCAAUUUCAAAUGCUUCGUUCUUCAAAGACUCACAAUGCAUUUAAUCACGAGCAACAUAUUCUUGGAGUUUUGUCUUUAAAUUUUAAUUGUGAACUGUUUUGAAAUAAUUUUUUAAUUUAUUUAUUUGUUUUAACAAGCUAUCAAAAGUGGACGGGUAUUCUGCAAUCCCUCCUAGUCCUCAGGGACAAAACAGACAGUCAGUGAGUUACUUAUCAACAUUAUGCCUUUUAAGUUCUUUCCGCAGUGCUUUGCUCUUUGCUGCUUUUUGUUUAUAUUUGCUGAUGUAGUCUCUAGCAUAGGAAAAACUGCAAACCUUUAUAUAAAGUUUAAUAAUAUUUUCAAGACAAAGCUUGGUAGUUUGUUUCGGCAAGUCCUUGCAUCCAUGCAAAAUGUUUUCCCACAGUGACUUAAGCAAUGGUGACUCCAGUGCUUCAUUACAUAAUGUAUCACAUGGAAUAGUACUAACCACUGAUGUUUGCUGGGCAAUAAACUGUCUAAAUACUAUUUCCACAACCUCCAAGAUUUGCACUAGAUCACUACAUGGUGUCACUAGUCCACCUCUACUUCGUGUGUCAAUAUAUGUGUUCUCAACACUGGGAAGUUUCAUGCUCUGUAACAUAGCACUGUUUUUGUAAUUUCGCCAAUACGUAGCCAGCAAUAUAUGAUAAGGGUCCACGUUCAUGUUCGCUUAGUUCUGUUACAUGCUCUGUGCUUUCACUUGAAGUGCCAGACUUCUGCUUUCCACUGGUGGACUUGAACAAAGCUACUAGGUGAUCAGAUAUGCUUAUCAUAACCAGGCUACAAAGUGGCUGGUUUUUGCAUUUCAGGAGGGCAGAUGACUUGGGAAUAAGUUCAUAAAAUUCGAUGAGAAAAUUAUCUUGAUUUCGUUUCUUACAAAAUCGUUGAUAAACUGGCGAGACAGCUUCGUAAAGGUUAUCGUUCGAAGUUACUUUUACCAAAUCCGAAGUUAUUCCUGUGUCCCAAUAACCCUCCUUUGUUAUCUUUGCUUUUACUUUAUUCACGAUAGACGUAAGUUCAUCUUUCUUAAGCGAAGGAAUGUUUGCAUUUGCUGUGGCUUUGCUGCCAUGCUUGGCGUUUACAUGCCUCGUUAGGCCAGCUUUCGAUUUACAAAUCUUUUCGCAAUUUUCGCAUGGAAACAUUUUUUCGCCCACUAUCUCCGUAGCAGCUUCAACAAAAACGUUUUCAACGGCCUCCUCGUCUUCGUCCAUAACGGCCAUGGUGAUUUCAAAAUGAAAAGGCAAGCUAGAUUCUUCAUCGUCCCCUUCGUCAACAAAUGGCAACUCAUCAGGUACGCUCCUAUUUCCUUCGAUUUCUGCCUCUACACGCUCAGGGAUAGAUUCAAUCGCCUCCAAACUUUUCUCCAUCGUCUUACUCACAUAAAACGAUCCUAAAACGGCGAUUUCGGCUCCAGGAUUAAGAAACGUUUCGAUAUAUUUGAGAAAAUCAGCAAAACUGUAAUACGAUCUUAUAUAAAUCUUUGAAGCGUGUCCCCUUUCCUGUGCACGUGACAUUUAUUUCCUUUGUGCCUCGACAUAAAUGCCGC